CAGGGAGACAACAAAAUGUUUAAUAUUAUUAUUUUGUCACCUUAGGUCGAUCGGUAUCUCACGUUCUUAAUUAAUUAAGGAUUUCAAUUUCUAAGUUUUUCUAGGUCACACCCAUUAUUUUUCCUGGGCCAUUAGCUCAGGUGGUUAGAGCGCACCCCUGAUAAGGGUGAGGUCCCUGGUUCAAGUCCAGGAUGGCCCAUAUCUCUAUGUUGGGGGUAUAGCUCAGUUGGUAGAGCGCCUGCUUUGCAAGCAGGAUGUCAGCGGUUCGAGUCCGCUUACCUCCACUGAUUACCACCUCUUCCAUAAUUUGUAUAAGGGAAAUGUUUUGAGUUGUGAUCAAAUUCUGAACGAAUCUAGCUUCCUAAUGAAAGCAUUAAGAUGCUGGACUCAUUGAAUUAAUUUCAUUGUUUUCAGAGAACCUUGACAACUGCAUAGAUUAUUUUUUUUAAAGACAAUAAGCAUCUUUAAUGAUGCAGAUUUAUUAUUUGUGCGAAUGCAUUAAUAACAAUUCUAUUAAGCUGAUGCUUCAAUUUUGAAGUUAUU
rnacentral:tRNA from 1 species